UAUUUAAAACGGAGCUUUGUCAAGAAAAACAAAGUAUACAGAAAUGGUUAAGAGAAAUAAAUUGUCUAUGUUGAAACCUUUUAAUGAGGCCAGAGAGCUCUAUGGAAGAAAAUCAUUGUCCGACCCCUUUUUGGGUAAAAAAAGCUACUCAUAGCCCCUACCAAGAAUUUUUUACUGCCUCAGCCAGCACCUCCGCCUUACAAAAGUAAAAAUAAGAUUCCGGUAUUCUUUUUAUUAAGUAAUGAAAACAGUCUAGGGCUUGCCAGGUCUAAAUUCCG